rnacentral:rRNA from 1 species
CUGAACCUAAGGAUCAUUGUCGUGACCCUGACCAAAAGGAGAAGUCGUAACAAGGUUUCCGUAGGUGAACCUGCGGAAGGAUCAUUGCCGGCGCGGCAAGCGCCAAGGAAAACAAAAAUAGAAUCGUUGCCCCUUUGGCUCCUGUCCGCGGUGUGGCCAUGGGGAUGCAGCGUAUCUUGAAAGUCUAAACGACUCUCGGCAACGGAUAUCUCGGCUCUCGCAUCGAUGAAGAACGUAGCGAAAUGCGAUACUUGGUGUGAAUUGCAGAAUCCCGUGAACCAUCGAGUCUUUGAACGCAAGUUGCGCCCGACGCCUUCGGGCUGAGGGCACGCCUGCCUGGGCGUCACGCAUCGCGUCGUCCCCUCCCAUUCCCUCACGGGUUUGGUUAUGGGACGGAUAAUGGCUUCCCGUUAGCUCGGUUAGCCCAAAAAGGAUCCCUCAUCGACGGAUGUCACAACCAGUGGUGGUUGAAAGAUCAUUGGUGCUGUUGUGCUUCACCCUGUCGCUUGCUAGGGCAUCGUCAUAAACUAACGGCGUGUAAUGCGCCUUCGACCGCGACCCCAGGUCAGACGGGACUACCCGCUGAG